UACGGUCAAUACACGCUGAAAACAUCAGUUGUCGUUCGAUCGUCGAAGUUAAGUAGUUCCAAGCCUGGUCAGUACUUAAAUGGGGGACCGCUUAGGAACACCGUGUAGUGCAGG